UUGAACGCUGGCGGCAGGCCUAACACAUGCAAGUCGAGCGGAUGAAGGGAGCUUGCUCCUGGAUUCAGCGGCGGACGGGUGAGUAAUGCCUAGGAAUCUGCCUGGUAGUGGGGGAUAACGUCCGGAAACGGGCGCUAAUACCGCAUACGUCCUGAGGGAGAAAGUGGGGGAUCUUCGGACCUCACGCUAUCAGAUGAGCCUAGGUCGGAUUAGCUAGUUGGUGGGGUAAAGGCCUACCAAGGCGACGAUCCGUAACUGGUCUGAGAGGAUGAUCAGUCACACUGGAAAUGAGACACGGUCCAGACUCCUACGGGAGGCAGCAGUGGGGAAUAUUGGACAAUGGGCGAAAGCCUGAUCCAGCCAUGCCGCGUGUGUGAAGAAGAUCUUCGGAUUGUAAAGCACUUUAAGUUGGGAGGAAGGGCAGUAAGUUAAUACCUUGCUGUUUUGACGUUACCAACAGAAUAAGCACCGGCUAACUUCGUG
rnacentral:rRNA from 1 species